AAGGGCCACGGCUACUUUUCUUUCUUUCUCUUUUCUUUCUUUCUGCUCUACCUCUGGAAAGGAAGAGACAGAGUUCCAAAUCACGCACAGAUGGCACAACUUUCACUUUUCCUCUCCCACCGCGGAGGCGCGCCCUCCAUCCGCUCACCCCGCACCCCCACCCUCAGAAGUGAAGGCGGGACCCUGGAGAGCGGGGCAGCGGCGGCUCGGCGCAUCCCCAGGCGCUGCGCGCAAGCCAAGCUGCGGCUUGCGGGGGCGCGAGGACCAGCCGCAGCUCCGGACUCCCGGAGCUCUGCGCAGCACUUGGCGAGAAGUAGGCACGGACGCCGCCGCUGCAAACUUGGUCCGCGCGCCCUGGGGCAGGAGCUCUGCAGUCCGGAGAGCCGAGACCCGAUCCCCGAGAGCGCGGGAAGGCGCGAGCGCACACAAGCCGCUCCGACGCCGCCGGGAAGCUCGACAGGGAGGGCUGCGGGGCCCGCAAAACAAAGAACUUCAGGCGGGACGUACCUGCGGCUUUGGCUGUCAGGUCCCAAAUCCACAGACCUGCGCCGGCGGAGCGGCAGGCGGACUCGGGCUACCGUGGAUGGCCUGACUGAUCCCAGCGUGCGGCCCCGGCGGGCAUGGUGUGGCGUGGGCCGGCGACGGGGCGAGCGGGCGAGGAGGGGAGCGGCGGGCGGGCGGACGAGUGUGCGGGCGCCGGCGGUGCGGCCCGGUCCGCUCCCUCCCGCCGCUGCAGCCCGCGCAUCAGUUUCAGGGAUCCUGUAAUCUGAUCCCUCUGAGUCACCGGCCCUGAGUGACAGUUCUGAUUUGGUUCAACCGCGGGUGGGAGGAGAAAGAGAAAGAAAGGAGCCCCCCGACCGUCAAGUCGACUUUUCAACGACUAAGGGCCCGUCCAGGCCGAGCGCCCCGGUUGCAAAAGUUGAGCUCCGCCGCGCGCGCCCUUCGCGCUCCCCUCCGCGCGCUCCUGCGCUCCUCCUCCUCCCCGCCCUCCUUCCCCAAGUUUUCACAGAUGUGGUCAGACUCUGCUCUCCUUCCCGGCUCCUUCUUCCCUCGCGCGCCCCCACCCCCGCCCCGUCCCUCUAAUUUCCGCCACUCGGAGGAGCGCUGGGGGGGACGCGCCGAGCCGCGGGACGACGCCGCCGCCGCCGCCGCCGCCGCCGCCGCAGGGGGCGAAGUUGGUUUAAAAACUUGGGAAGACUGCUCGCCUUACUUUGCUUUCCCGCUCCUUUCCAGGCCGCGCCCGGCGGGGUCCCGCUCCGCGCGCGCGGAUCCCAGGGCGCUGCGCUGAGGGGCGGCACUGAGGCCGCGCGUCGGGCCGGGCAGGGCUGGCGCGGGCAGCCGGGAGCCACGCGCUCCACCGCCUCCGCCCCUCCCGGGUCCUCACACAGACACAUCCAGGCCUGCUCCUCCUCUUCCCCCUCCUUGACCCCGCGCCCGCGCGGCGCGCCAGGCCCCACCCACCCGGCAGGAGGAAGGGGCCCGCGGGUGAUGUCACCCGAGCCCUCCAGGCCUGCGCUCCCGCGCAGCCGAGCAGCCGGGGCUCGCGCGCUGCCGGGCGCUUCGCCCAUGCCGCCUCUCUUCGCCCCCCCCCCCCCCAACUCCGCUCUCGGGCUGGACUCCCCUUCCUUCUCUAGAGACCUCUCAGAUCGCCACUGCCCCACCCCCGCACACCUCCUGGUACUUUUCCCUAGGCCAAGCCUGAAACUUCCUCUCGCGGGAUGAUGCUUUUGAAAGUUGAAGACUUUCCUCCCCGUUGCGUUAAACUCCGUUUGGGACGUCUCGCCGUACAGCCUACUGUCCCCGUGGGCCACUUUGCAAAGAACACAAAGACCCGAGCUGGGAACCGGGACUUGAGCUGAGAACCCUGACUUGCACGGGGUUCUUUUCCUUAAGAUGCAGAGUGCCUGUCCUUGGUUUCUUUUAAAAGACCCAUGUUACUUCAACGGGCCAGUGCACUCAUCUCUCUCUCCCCAUCCAGGUACUCACCCCAACCUGUUACUUGAAAGGGAGGAUUUCAAGGGGGUGGAAGAAAGAAGAAAACCCAAGAGACAUUCCAGAAUACCGGAGUAAGCAGUUGGCCCACCAGGAGUGCCUUGGUGCUCAGGGUGCUCUGUGGCAGCCGUCUUGAAGGCAGAGUGGGUGGAUGAAUAGCUAUAAUAAUUUGAAGAACAUUUUGAAAUUCACGUGCUAAACUGGGGAAAAUUUUUAACGGAAUUGACAGUGUAUUCGUUAUUUGUUUCUGGUGACUUGUUGCUUAUGACAAAGACAAAAGCAGAGAGUGACUUAAGCUUUCAGUGUGGGGCUCCAGACACUUCUUAGCCAUUUUUAAGCUUUCUCUCCGCUACAACACUCUGUAAGGCAAAGAGUGAAACAUCCUUCACUCAUCUCGGAGUGCAGGAAUAUCAACAGAGGUAGCCCCAACCCUCCCCUCAGUAACUGGCCCCAGGCCCCAGAGUAUUCCCUCAGCCUCUGUAGACUCUGAGCCCACAGUAGAUGAGCGAGAAAAUGCAGUCCUCCUAAGUCCCGGGACGGCUAUGGAUCUCCAGUGAGAUUAUACCUGCAAAGUUAUAAAAGACGACAUCGUGUGUGAGAACUAUUUUCCUUUUUGGUAUUUCAAGUUAGUCAGAGGGAUGGUGUGUUUCAUUAAUGUCAGAUACAUUGUUUCUGGCAUUUGGGGCUGCUGCUGCCUCCACCGCGAGAAUGUAAAUACUGCAUCCUGAUAGUUUUCUCUGCUUAUCCAGUGGCAAAAGGGACAGCCCAUAAAUCACCGGGCAUAAAAUAUAAAUUUUGACUUUUACUUCUUACAGUCUCGCAGCACAUUCUGAGUCAUAAAGAUCUUGAUUUGGGGUUCUAAAAAACACUGGAACAAAGAAAAACAUUGCAAAGCUUCCUUCCCACCACGCUAUCAGAACUUAGCUAAUAACCAAGAAGGAACUCCGCUUUGCAUCCUAAACUUUGAUUCCCUCACCUUAGGAGAGGUGGGCAACUCAGAUUGGCUGACAAACGCAUGCACGUGAACAUGGUUUACAGAAAUGGUAAAGAAAAAAAAAAAAUUGCCUCGCUGUGAGUUAAAUAAUGUCAUGGAGUUUCAAUACAUGUUAGCUUCAUAACUCUUUUGCCCAGGGAAAUCUUGGAUACAAAUCCCAAAAUGAAACAAGAGGAAUUCUUGAAGGUGGGGUGUCCUUAAAAUUGGAACCUUAAAUCUUAUGCAUCACCCACCUCCUGUCCUGCAGAGGCUCCUAAGUUAUCUCUUAACUCAGUAGAGGGACUUCUGUUAAUUAAGGAGCCAUUAGGUAGGAUGCAUAGGGAAGAGACUGUUCCUUAAUCCAUCUGAAUCCCACUCUUAUACAGUCAUUCCUGCCUUACCUCAUCACUAGUCAUUUCAACUACAAAUCUCUUGGGAAAUUUUAAUGUCAUAAGUCCUCUAUGUUAGUUUUUUUUGUCAACUUGACACUACCUAGAGUCAUUUGGGAAAAGGGACAUUCAAUUGAGAAAAUAUUCCAUAAGAUUCACCUAUAGUAAAUUUUUUGAUUAACAGUUGAUGUGAGAGGGCCCAGCCCACUACGGGGCAGUUUCACACUUAGGCUGAUGGUCCUGGGUUAUAUAAGAAAACAGGCAGAACAAGCCACAGGGAACAAGCCAGUGAGCAACACUCCUCUAUGGUCUCUGAUUCAGUUUCUGCCUCCAGGUUCCUGCGUUGAGUCCUUCCCUUAGUGAUGGACUGUGAUCAGGACUUGUAAACCAAACAAACCCUUUCCUCCCUAAGUUGCUGUGGCCAUGGCCACAGCAACAGAUACCCUGAGCUAUACUCACAAUAUUUAAACCUUUAAGAUGGAUUUAUUUUCCAUAAUGAGGCAAGAGACUUAACAACCCUCUUGUUGGUUUGUCAGCACUGCUGUAGCAAGCGAUUAUGCAGUUGAUGGCUUAAACAAGGCAGGCACUAACUUACAUUUCUGAAUGCCAGGAUGCUAAGUCAUAGUGUCGACAGGGCCAGUGUUUGCCUGCAAAGUGUGGGGAAAGCCAUCCUUGCCUUCACAGGCUUCUUGUAGGAGCCCCUGAUCUGCUUGCUAUUCCUUGGCUUUCGGCUACUUCCCAUCUCUCUGCCUGGGUGAUCUUAAGGCAUUCUCCUUGCACUCAUCUCCUCUUAUGGAGUUGAGAGCUGUGGCCUAUGCCACUUCAGUCUGACUUUGUUUUGACUAAUUGCAUCUACAGCCUUGUUUUCAAAUAAGCUAGUUUUCUGAAGUUCCUGGGAUGAGCACUUCUUUUUAAGAAGAAGAGGGCACAAGUCAACUCAGCAACGUUGACCCACAGGGGUUUGUUUGGAGGCCUGGGCCUCAGAACACUGGUGUUAAGAUGAUUGAAACCAUUACGAAGUGGAAUACACAUUGGUUGGCUUGCCUAUUGAAAAGAAUAUGUUAAUGCUGUUAUAGCCUUAGUUAUUCUCAAGAAAUCAAGCUUAUAAUAGAGCAAGGAGGAUUCCUUCCAAUUCUCUGGCUUCCUGUCUCACUAUGUGGGAGCAUUAGGUGUGUUCCCACUUCAUUAGUGUCAUGACUCCAGAGGUCAAACUGUCGAGGACUCUCCAUCUUGAACUUUCGGGUCCUAAAGUUCUGCUGAAUAAACCCUUUUGCUUUAUAAAGAA